UACGUAGGGACCAAGCGUUGUCCGGAAUCAUUGGGCGUAAAGCGCGCGUAGGUGGCCAUUUAAGUCCGCUGUGAAAGUCAGAGGCUCAACCUUUGAAAGCCGGUGGAUACUGGAUGGCUAGAGUACGGAAGAGGCGAGUGGAAUUCCUGGUGUAGCGGUGGAAUGCGCAGAUAUCAGGAGGAACACCGGUGGCGAAGGCGGCGCUCUGGACCGAGACUGACGCUGAGGCGCGAAAGCGUGGGGAGCAAACAGG
rnacentral:rRNA from 1 species